rnacentral:rRNA from 1 species
AAACCAACAGGGAUUGCCUUAGUAGCGGCGAGUGAAGCGGCAAGAGCUCAAAUUUGAAAUCUGGUACCUUCGGUGCCCGAGUUGUAAUUUGAAGAAAGCAGUCUUGGAUUUGGCCUUUGUCUAUGUUCCUUGGAACAGGACGUCACAGAGGGUGAGAAUCCCGUGCGAUGAGGUGUCCAUUUCCUUGUAAGACGCUUUCGAAGAGUCGAGUUGUUUGGGAAUGCAGCUCAAAGUGGGUGGUAAAUUCCAUCUAAAGCUAAAUAUUGGCGAGAGACCGAUAGCGAACAAGUACUGUGAAGGAAAGAUGAAAAGAACUUUGAAAAGAGAGUGAAAAAGUACGUGAAAUUGUUGGAAGGGAAGGGUAUUCGAUCAGACUUGGUAUUUAGUUAUCAUCACUCCUUGUGGGUGGUGCUCUAGCUUUUUACUGGGCCAGCAUCAGUUUUGGUGGUAAGAUAAUGGCAGUUGAAUGUGGCUCCUCGGAGUGUUAUAGCUUCUGUUGAUGUUACCUACUGGGACUGAGGUCUGCGGCUUUGCCUAGGAUGCUGGCGUAAUGAUCUAAUACCGC